CUACGGGAGGCAGCAGUGGGGAAUCUUGCGCAAUGGGCGAAAGCCUGACGCAGCAACGCCGCGUGAGCGAAGACGGCCUUCGGGUUGUAAAGCUCUGUCAGGAGGGACGAAGCCACUCAGGUGAAUAGCCGAGAGGGUGACGGUACCUCCAGAGGAAGCCCCGGCUAACUACGUGCCAGCAGCCGCGGUAAUACGUAGGGGGCAAGCGUUGUCCGGAAUCAUUGGGCGUAAAGCGCGUGUAGGCGGCCAUCCAAGUCCGAUGUGAAAGCUCGGGGCUCAACCCCGAGUCUGCAUUGGAAACUGUAUGGCUUGAGUCCGGAAGAGGAGACUGGAAUUCCUGGUGUAGCGGUGAAAUGCGCAGAUAUCAGGAAGAACACCGGUGGCGAAGGCGGGUCUCUGGGACGGUACUGACGCUGAGACGCGAAAGCGUGGGGAGCAAACAGGAUUAGAUACCCUGGUAGUCCACGCCGUAAACGAUGGGCACUAGGUGUGGGAGGUGUCGACUCCUUCCGUGCCGUAGCUAACGCAUUAAGUGCCCCGCCUGGGGAGUACGGCCGCAAGGCUAAAACUCAAAGGAAUUGACGG
rnacentral:rRNA from 1 species